CUUUUUCCCUUCCUCUCCCACUUUCUUUCCCUCUCGACCUCUCCGUAAACUCGUCGCCGCCGCCGCCACUCUGCAAGAUUCUCCCUCCAUCUCUCUGUACUUUGCAAGACCGCAGUAAGAGCAAGCAAGCCCUCCGUUGACCGUUCCCCGCUUCGCAUCAAGCCAAAAUCUCAAAACUAAAGGCACCCUGCUACAUUUCUCCAUGCAUACACAUGACUUCCUAUUAGCUUUGCAACAAAACAAGCUGCUGGAGCUAUUUUACAAGAUGUUGCUGAUUCAGGAGUUCUGUUUGCAUUAUUGAUGUGUAAACACAAGGUUGUCAUCAUGUGCAUUCACAUAUCCAAACACAAAAGUGUAGCACUUUAUUCUUGAUGGAUUAUGUUGAAAAGUUUGGGUUGAUAAGAUUUUGGAGGAAAAUAUGGACCUAGUUUGACCAAAUGAUGAAAUAUUGUUUCUCGAUGACGCAAUAGGAAGCACAGUCGCAUGUUUAUCUAAAUUUAUAGUAUUGUACAAGUGAUACAUAUUCUGUUGAUUUGUGUGAAUUGAAAGUUUAAUCAUUUUUAUAUUAUUAGCUAGUUUGUUAGAGAUUUCAUAUAUUGUUUUGGAUC